UGGUCAAGCUUAUAAGGGCUUGCGGAGGAUACCUAGGCACACAGAGA
rnacentral:rRNA from 1 species